rfam:Candidatus Taylorbacteria bacterium RIFCSPLOWO2_12_FTLL_44_15c rifcsplowo2_12_scaffold_4603, whole genome shotgun sequence.
GCGCCUAUAGCUUAGUGGUAAAGCCGCCGUCUUAUACACGGCUGUCGGGGGUCCGAUUCCCUCUAGGCGCA